rnacentral:rRNA from 1 species
GAUGAACGCUGGCGGCGUGCCUAAUACAUGCAAGUCGAGCGAACGGACGAGAAGCUUGCUUUUCUGAUGUUAGCGGCGGACGGGUGAGUAACACGUGGAUAACCUACCUAUAAGACUGGGAUAACUUCGGGAAACCGGAGCUAAUACCGGAUAAUAUUUUGAACCGCAUGGUUCAAAAGUGAAAGACGGUCUUGCUGUCACUUAUAGAUGGAUCCGCGCUGCAUUAGCUAGUUGGUAAGGUAACGGCUUACCAAGGCAACGAUGCAUAGCCGACCUGAGAGGGUGAUCGGCCACACUGGAACUGAGACACGGUCCAGACUCCUACGGGAGGCAGCAGUAGGGAAUCUUCCGCAAUGGGCGAAAGCCUGACGGAGCAACGCCGCGUGAGUGAUGAAGGUCUUCGGAUCGUAAAACUCUGUUAUUAGGGAAGAACAUAUGUGUAAGUAACUGUGCACAUCUUGACGGUACCUAAUCAGAAAGCCACGGCUAACUACGUGCCAGCAGCCGCGGUAAUACGUAGGUGGCAAGCGUUAUCCGGAAUUAUUGGGCGUAAAGCGCGCGUAGGCGGUUUUUUAAGUCUGAUGUGAAAGCCCACGGCUCAACCGUGGAGGGUCAUUGGAAACUGGAAAACUUGAGUGCAGAAGAGGAAAGUGGAAUUCCAUGUGUAGCGGUGAAAUGCGCAGAGAUGUGGAGGAACACCAGUGGCAAGGGCGACUUUCUGGUCUGUAACUGACGCUGAUGUGCGAAAGCGUGGGGAUCAAACAGGAUUAGAUACCCUGGUAGUCCACGCCGUAAACGAUGAGUGCUAAGUGUUAGGGGGUUUCCGCCCCUUAGUGCUGCAGCUAACGCAUUAAGCACUCCGCCUGGGGAGUACGACCGCAAGGUUGAAACUCAAAGGAAUUGACGGGGGCCCGCACAAGCGGUGGAGCAUGUGGUUUAAUUCGAAGCAACGCGAAGAACCUUACCAAAUCUUGACAUCCUUUGACAACUCUAGAGAUAGAGCCUUCCCCUUCGGGGGACAAAGUGACAGGUGGUGCAUGGUUGUCGUCAGCUCGUGUCGUGAGAUGUUGGGUUAAGUCCCGCAACGAGCGCAACCCUUAAGCUUAGUUGCCAUCAUUAAGUUGGGCACUCUAAGUUGACUGCCGGUGACAAACCGGAGGAAGGUGGGGAUGACGUCAAAUCAUCAUGCCCCUUAUGAUUUGGGCUACACACGUGCUACAAUGGACAAUACAAAGGGCAGCGAAACCGCGAGGUCAAGCAAAUCCCAUAAAGUUGUUCUCAGUUCGGAUUGUAGUCUGCAACUCGACUACAUGAAGCUGGAAUCGCUAGUAAUCGUAGAUCAGCAUGCUACGGUGAAUACGUUCCCGGGUCU